UACGUAGGGGGGCUAGCGUUGUCCGGAAUCAUUGGGCGUAAAGCGCGUGUAGGCGGCCCUGUAAGUCCGCUGUGAAAAGUCAAAGGGGCUCAACCCUUGGAUGCCGGUGGAUACUGCAGGGCUAGAGUCCGGAAGAGGCGAGUGGAAUUCCUGGUGUAGCGGUGAAAAUGCGCAGAUAUCAGGAGGAACACCGAUGGCGAAGGCAGCUCGCUGGGACGGUACUGACGCUGAGGCGCGAAAGCGUGGGGAGCAAACAGG
rnacentral:rRNA from 1 species